GACGAACGCUGGCGGCGCGCCUAACACAUGCAAGUCGAACGGAGCUGAGAGAAGCUUGCUUUUCUUAGCUUAGUGGCGAACGGGUGAGUAACGCGUGAGUAACCUGCCCUGGAGUGGGGGACAACAGUUGGAAACGACUGCUAAUACCGCAUAAGCCCACGAUCCGGCAUCGGCUUGAGGGAAAAGGAUUUUUUCGCUUCAGGAUGGACUCGCGUCCAAUUAGCUAGUUGGUGAGGUAACGGCCCACCAAGGCGACGAUUGGUAGCCGGACUGAGAGGUUGAACGGCGACAUUGGGACUGAGACACGGCCCAGACUCCUACGGGAGGCAGCAGUGGGGGAUAUUGCACAAUGGGGGAAACCCUGAUGCAGCGACGCCGCGUGGAGGAAGAAGGUUUUCGGAUUGUAAACUCCUGUCGUUAGGGACGAUAAUGACGGUACCUAACAAGAAAGCACCGGCUAACUACGUG
rnacentral:rRNA from 1 species